rnacentral:piRNA from 1 species
CAGAGGUUCAGUUCAUUAC